AUAUUGCGCCGCCAUCAAGUUUUUAGAAUUGAUCGCCCUGCAUCUAAUUCAUCUGGUGGAGUAGCUGUGGUUGUCCAGAAUGGAGUCGCCUGCUCUCACGUUCCUCUGGCUACGCCUCUUUAAGCUGUGGCUGUACGACUUCUUUUGGACCGCCUUAUUACUGUCGUUUCUAUUUAUAUUUCACCUAACACUUCACUGCAUCUUCAUGAUCUUCAACGGCUGGUUACACAGCUUCCUCAUCCAUUUUUACUGUGAGGAGAUUUUAAUGCUCACCACCCCCUGUGGGGUAGCGCCCGUCAGGACUCGCGUGGUGGGGCAAUUGAGCGAUUUUUAUUAUCUUCUGGGCUCUGCCUUAUGAAUACGAAAGAGCCAACCUUUUUUAGCGCUGCUCACAACUCAUUUACAUCUAUUGACCUUUCAAUUUCAUCCCCCUCACUGUUUUCUAUGUUUACUUGGAAAGUUUUAAAUAACCCUUUUGGGAGCGACCACUUUCCAGUCGUUUUGGAGAGUCAGGUUUCUAUUCCAAGCCCCAUGAAACACAGUCCACGUUGGAAACUGGAAAAGGCAGACUGAGGUCUUUUUAGCCUUAACUCGGAGCUCAAACCUUGCAUGUUUUUGCCAUUAACACAUGAUGAAGCCACCACAUACAUUACAGAUCAGAUCAUAAAUGCUGCCUUUCGCUCCAUCCCCCAGACUUCAUGUAACAUUGCAAAAAAAUGUAAGUCAUGGUGGAAUAAAGAAUGUUCCACCACUAAGAAAAAACGGGACAAGGCUUGGGGUAUAUUUCGGAGAUAUCCAACAUCUGUGAAUUUGUUAGAGUUUCAGAGAUAUAGAGCUCAAGCUCGUUCAGUCAGGAAGCAGGCAAAAAGGAAGUCUUAGAAAAGUUAUCUGACGUCCAUCAGCAGCUACGUCCCAGCGAAGGAAGCGUGGGAACGACUUCACAAAGUCGAAGGCAAAUACCGCUGCUUUACAGUUCCUCUUUUUCCUUCAGUGGAUUCGUUGUGCGACCAGGCUAAUGUGUUGGGUGAACAUUUUGCAGCAAUUUCCAAGUCCUCCCAUUACUCUUCAGCGUUUUUGAAGUUUAAGACAGAUGCAGAAAGAAUGAAAGUCAGCUUGGCAGGAGGAGCCUCUGCACCCUACAAUCAACCGUUUACGAUGAUCGAGCUCCAAACGGCACUUAAUGUCCGGAAAAACUCGUCUCCUGGUUCUGACUGAAUACAUUAUGAGAUGAUCUGACACUUGUCGAGGAAUCACUUGCUGCCCUUCUUGUUUACUUGAAUGAUUUGUGGAAAGACUCAUACUUCCCUUCCGAAUGGAAGCGGGCAGAGAUUAUUCCACUGCUGAAGCCUGGAAAAGACCCUUCCUCUCCUGCCAGUUACAGGCCAAUAGCACUGACGAGUUUCUUGGGGAAAACUUUUGAAAGGUUAAUUCAUAAACGGCUUGUUUAUUUCCUCGAACAACACAAUAUUUUGGACAUGAAUCAGUGCGGCUGUCGAUCUGGACACUCCACGACCGACCAUUUAGCUCGGCUGGAGACAAUUGUACGCGAGGCAUUAGUGAAUAAGCAGCAUUGUGUAUCUGUCUUUUUUGACUUAGAAAAGGCUUAUGAUACCACUUGGAAACAUGAAAUCCUGCGUGACCUAUUUAUGUAUGGAGUAUGUGGCCGAUUGCUUCAUUGCGUAAAGAACUUCCUGUGUGGACGCACUUUCCGUGUCCGGCUAGGCACUACAUUAUCCGAUUCGUAUGUUCAAGAAAACGGUGUUCCUCAGGGCGGAGUCCUGAGUGUCACUCUCUUUGCCGUAAAAAUUAAUUCUCUCUGUCGGGUUAUACCUUCUUCCGUGUCGUACUUCCUAUAUGUGGAUGAUAUUCAGAUUUCUGUGGCAUCUUGUAAUAUGUCUAUAGCUGUGGAAGGCAGCUGCAGCUAACCAUAAAUAAAAUUCCUAAAUGGGCAAAUGAAAAUGGUUUUAAGUUCUCUUCAGAAAAAACAAUCUGUGUCCCAUUUUCUCUGUGGUGUGGGCUUUGGUUAGAUCCGAUUCUCAGUUUAAAUGGAAAUAGCAUUGCAGUAAGACCAGAGCAUAAGUUCCUAGGAGUUAUUUUCGACCAUAAACUUGGCUUUGUACCUCACCUCAAGUGGCUGAAGCAAAAGUGUAUCCAGACUAUGAAUGUCCUAAAAGUUCCUUCUCGCAAGUCUUGGGGCUCCGAUAAAAGGUGUCUGCUUCGUCUCUAUUCCUCUCUCGUACGAUCACGUCUUGAUUAUGGUGCUAUUGUGUAUGCAUCUGCUCGGCCAUCUGCAUUGAAGAUGCUUGAUCCAGUGCACCAUCUUGGGUUGCGUAUAGCAAGUGGUGCUUUUCGAACAUCCCCUAUCCCAAGCUUGUAUGUUGACUCUAAUGAAAUGUAACUCGAGAAAAGGCGACAGCUCCUUAGUCUUAUCUAUGUUUACAAAGUUCUGUCGGAUUCUAGUCAUCCUGCUCACACUUAUAUCCGAGAGUCUAGAUUUUGUCGAACCUUUGACCACGAGCCAACUGUUGUUUGACCCCCCGAGUCUUCGUUUUAAGAACCUUCGUCUCUCCCUUGGCCUGCCUUGUGAAAAUGUCUACCUCAUAGAAAGUGCAUGUCAUAUUGCCCCAUGGGAUAUCAAGCCUAUAGCUUGUGAUUGGUACUUCACAAGAUUAAAUAAACAUAAUGUCUCCCCACUCAAUUUAAACCGGAAUUUCUUGCACUGCAAGUGAAGUACAAGAAUUAUCAUCAAUUUUACACUGACGGAGCCAAGUCCUCAACGUAUGUAGGCUCUGCUGUUCAUUCUAAUUCGUUUACACAUGUGACACGGCUAAAUAACGUUGCUAGCAUUUUUACUGCCGAGCUAUAUGGCGUGCUGUCAGUACUUGACCAUAUUAUCCGGAGCAAAGUGAUGAAAGCAGUUCUUUUUGUGGACUCUCGGAGCGUUGUUACUACAGCAUGUUCACUUUAUCCAACCACGAACAAGCUGACUCAACUUGUAUGUGCUAAAGUUCAACUGGGCCUCGGAGAUGGGAAGGAUAUUAGGUUUUGUUGGAUCCCGAGCCAUGUGGGCAUUGUAGGCAACGAGGCUGCAGAUAGGCUGGCCGCCUUGUCGCAUAACAUCUUACCAUCACACGCAUGCAUACCAUACCAAGACCCAACAAGGCCCAAACGGCUUCUGUGCCGGUUGAGGAUUGGCCACACGUUGCUCACCCAUCGAUACCUACUUGUUGGUGAGGAACCACCAGUGUGCGACCACUGUGGAGACACCUUGUCCAAUCGACAUAUUUUUCUUUGCCCUGGUCUUCUACAACAGCACAAGUUCUUCUUUCCUGAGCUUUUUAAGUACUGCAUCCCUUUUCAUCCUACUCGGUUCCUAGGAGAGCAGCCUCUAAUAUCAAUUGACCGUGUCUUAGCUUUUCUAGAAAAUAUAGCGAUUUUACACAAACUAUAGCGGAAAUACUUUCUUGGUACAUUGUUUCUAGUUAAUUUUAGUUUACCUAGUUUGGUGCAGUAUGGCCAUCGUAGCUCUUGCACCAUAAAACUCGCAAACAACAACAGAAUCUUGUGGAGCAGCCGUUGGACCACCGGUGCCAUCGUAAUCGGGCGGAAGUGGCCUGCCUCCGUUGCAGGAUUCGUCUUGGGGAUGAACACCGUACGGCCCGCCUGAAGUGCAGCGGGGACCCGGCCAAGCAGCAUCAGCAGGUUGAGCAGCACCCUCAAGAUGGUAGAGGGCACUGCCCUUAGAAGCCGAGCUGUGAAGCCGUCUGGACCUGGCGCCGAGUUGGGGGAAGCUUACUUCCCGCAGCUCCCCGACAGUGACAGGGAAGAUGUCUAUUUCCCCGUCCGGCUUGGCUAACGGCUCCACAAUUGGAGGUGGGAGUGGGCCAGUCAUGAUUUCAGCCCAAGUUGCGAGGAACCCCCUGACGUCCUCCACUCCUGCCUCAGCUGGCUCGUCCAAGACCUCUCUUGCACAGUCGGCGGGGCGCUUGUGGAACAUCUCUUGUGUCUUUGCAUACCCUCUACGCCUCCUCCUCCCCCGGCUCUCCCAAGGUGGUGUUCGUCUGAAACUCUGAGGCGGCGAUCUCCUCAGGUCCAGGAAGAAGACGUCCCUGAUAUAAACGUUGAUGGGACUAGUCGGCACCAGAGGUGGCCUUCCUGGCAACGGCCCAGAGUCGCUGCCCCUGGAACGUCUCCGGCGGCUCCACGUCCACCGCCUCCCACAGCGCCUGGAGCAGUGCCUCUCUUGAAGGUGACCAGAAGCUGUUCCUGCUGAAGCUCUGCCAGAUCCAGAGGACAAGGUUGCUGCCUCGGGUCCGGUUCCUGAGUCUUCCUGUGGCUGGGAGUCCUGUCCCGGUUCCCGAUGUGGCUGGGAGUCCUGUUCCAGUUCUUGAGAGUCCUGCUAGGGCUGAAAGUCCCAUUCCUGUUCCCAAGGGUCCUCCUAGAGCUGAGGGUCCUGUGCCCAAGCAUUAAGGUGCUCUGGCGGCCGAGGAGUUCCAGUCGUCUGAGUUGUCGGCAGAUGUCAGCUGGGCAUCCAGCCGUACCAAGGCUGCGACUGAGGGUUCUGGGUCCUCGCUCGGCACUACAUUCAGCAGUGCAGAAAGGGCAGCAGGAGUGUUGUCGCCUGUGUGGGGGUCUUCAACACCACCCAUCCUAACACAACCCACGCCUUCCCCAGACCGGAAGAGACUCAAGGUGUGGACGCUUGAAUCCCCCGCACCAAGGCCUAUCUUGGAGGCUGCCAGAACGUUUUACAGACCAUUUUGUGAACUUGUACGACGAGGGUUCGACGAGUUUGUCGAGUGUGUUAGUGAAAGUGUAUUUGAUACAAACUGCUGGACUUGUAUCAGAAUCAUGACAGUGGAUUUUUAUUCAUUGUAUUUACUUGCUUCGAUGCAAUGGUUUUGCCCUAUGUUUUUUUUUCUUUUGCUCUACUGUUACUCACUGUUUUGCAAUGUAAUGUUCAGUUGCUGAUUUGUUUUUCUUCCUUGUAAAAAUUUAAGGGAAAGAUUGUUUUUGUUUUUUUUUAACAAAGGGAGAGUAUGAAGAUUUAGAAAAGGGAGUGUAUUUUUAUUUUUUAACAAAGUAAGAGUAUUAACACAUUUUUUAAGAAAAGGGAGGAAUGUUUUUUUUUUUUUUUUUUAAAAAGUGUAAUAUUUUUUUUUUUUAGUUUACAAAUACAAAGAUGGCGCCACUGCCCCAUCACUGGAAGUGUGCCCCUGGCUUCUGGGCACGAGCCUUGUUUUGGUUCUCUUUGACAAUACUGUUUUGGUGUCAGCUCUCGCUUCGCUUGGUUAUCUUUUUUUUCUUGGCAUUGGCACACUGGUCGAAGACCUCCUUGAUAAGAAAGCCCAAGUGCUGAAUUUUUCUGCAUCACUAAAGAAGGCCACCGUAGACCAGAGAUUGGGUCCCUAUCAAAACGGCAAAAAUCAAAUCAAGAGGCCGAAAUAUAAAAAAGGCCGAAUGUCAGAACGCCAAAAAAUCGAAACGUUGAAAUGCCGAAAAAUCAAAAUGCUGAAAAUUCACAACGCCGUAAACUACAAAAGGCGAAAAAUAAAUGAUGUGCUCUGUCAUUUCCACUUUGUUUGUUUUACGCCAAAGCACUUUUCAUUGACACGAGCCUUUUUGUCUCUUUCUAUAAAGACACCAGUAUCAAUGUAGAUUAAACUGAUUUAAAAUUUUGUGUUUUGCUGUUGCAAAGCUAUGUUGUAAAGCUAGGCAUAUCAGUCGGACAGGACAGCUCUUAUUGGCGAGCAGAAAAAAACAGCACUUCCCAGUGUUUAGAGUACAAGAGAAGCAGCAAUGUGCGGCAGUAAUCAUUUCACCUAUUUGAAGGGACAUGGACAAAGACUUAAUUAUGUGUUCCCAAGAGAAAGUGAAACAUAGUUGCAGUUAUGUUGACGUGCUGGACAAGAAAGUGGGUUCUAGACACUGUAGCCAGCCGGCAACAGCCAGGCGGCGCCAGCAGAGUGGGAGCCCACGGUUACACCCUGUCUCAUAACUUGGCAAAGGGUGAACAAUAAGCCCCACACUGCGUGCCGAAGGCUUCGAAAUGCGCGACGUAUGCGAGCGCAACCCACACAUAUUGGAGCAUGACGGAGCGAAAAGGCUGAUACUUCUUCAGAAUAGAGGCACGCUCCGGUGAUACGUUCCUAUUGGCCCGCCAGGGCCGUAGCUUCCGCUGUACUGGCAUGUUACACGAUCACGGCUUUCUGGGAUACCCAGUAUUUCUUGCUUCAGACACUAGGCUAAGCAGUGCCACCAGGGUAAAAGUUCACGUUUGAACAAUGCAGCCGCCACUCCCAGGGAUACCCAAUAUUUCUAGCUUCAGUCGCUAGAUGGCGCCAAACCAAACAGCAUUGCAGGUUGCCUAUUGGAGGUUUAGAAAGCAAGGCGAAAGCAACGCUAGACUGAUUACCAACCUUCCUAUUCACAAGAUCACCUCGAAGACAGUGAUGCACGCAAAUCAUACUCUGGAUAUCUGCAGGGUUACAGUGCUCUGUACUCAAGAAUGGAUCAAAGCUCUGGUGGCGGCUUCGCAUGACGCACCCGUGAAGAUUGUGCACCUAGUCACGACAGAUGUAGCAGCGUCUUCAAGGAAACACAUUCCAAGCAAUGAAGCCUUGCGCAAGAUUGCGAGAAAGAGGAAAGCAGACUGCCCACACGAGCCACCUACUGUGCAGGCGCUCAUCAUCGAGGGAACAACUUUAGAUGGCCGGGAGUUUCUGCGGUGCGACUGCACCAGCACAGAUGGAGCUUGGCUCUUAAUUUUUUUCACGGACGAAAACUAAUGAUCUGAACGACACUCCGGUGUGGCUCAUGGAGGGAAAAUUUAUUCGCCGCUCUUCGAGUAGUUAUACACAAUUCACGGUUAUCCUCAUGGCCAUGUGUUUCCUUUAGUUUACUGCCUCAUGACUCGAUGAACCCAGAUGGCAAAUGAGGCACUUUGAAGAGGUGUUGAACUUCGUCGCAGAUCUUGGACUUGCACGCACGUAAGGAAGUGUGAAAAAAAAUUGGAGGGGGGAACGAAGGAAAGUAGAGAAAUCUUCUCCCAGGAAGAAUUUCUUUUUGUGCGUCGGGCUUUAAAGGGACACCGCAGGUACAACUCUCAGCGCAAUGUCUGUGCCUACAUCAACCUGCCUUGGAACUGGUGGAGUAACCGGAGAACUUUCCGAUGUUAUUGAGAUGCAGCACGUCUUCUCUGAAGAUGAGGCAUCUUCAGAGAAGACAUGCUGCAGAAUCUCUGUACGUGCUUUCAUGGCAGAUAAUUUGGAAAACGUUCUGUAUUCACCAGACUAACAAGUUUCUCCGAAUGUUCUGCUAUGAACGUCUCCUUUUGCAUCUGCACAUAGUGAAAUGGUCUCCACAAAGUCAACCUCAAGAGAUCUGCUGCUGCUGCUGCUGCUGCUGCGAGGAAGGCACAGAAAGUGUUAAAGUUUGUGCACAUAUGAUACGCAUGCAUUGCAGGAAUAUUUUUUUUUAA
rnacentral:lncRNA from 1 species